CGCUAGCGGCAGGCUUAAUACAUGCAAGUCGAGGGGCAGCGCGGGUAGCAAUACCUGGCGGCGACCGGCAAACGGGUGCGGAACACGUACGCAACCUUCCCAAAACUGGGGAAUAGCCCUCCGAAAGGAGGAUUAAUACCCCGUAACAUAACGAAGAGGCAUCUCUUUGUUAUUAUAGCUCAGGCGGUUUUGGAUGGGCGUGCGGCUGAUUAGGUAGUUGGCGGGGUAACGGCCCACCAAGCCUGCGAUCAGUAACUGGUGUGAGAGCACGACCAGUCACACGGGCACUGAGACACGGGCCCGACUCCUACGGGAGGCAGCAGUAAGGAAUAUUGGUCAAUGGACGCAAGUCUGAACCAGCCAUGCCGCGUGAAGGAUGAAGGUCCUCUGGAUUGUAAACUUCUUUUAUCUGGGACGAAAAAAGGGAAUUCUUUCUCACUUGACGGUACCAGAGGAAUAAGCACCGGCUAACUCCGUGCCAGCAGCCGCGGUAAUACGGAGGGUGCGAGCGUUAUCCGGAUUUACUGGGUUUAAAGGGUGCGUAGGUGGGCAGGUAAGUCAGUGGUGAAAUCUUCGAGCUUAACUCGGAAACUGCCAUUGAUACUAUCUGUCUUGAAUAUCCUGGAGGUGAGCGGAAUAUGUCAUGUAGCGGUGAAAUGCUUAGAUAUGACAUAGAACACCAAUUGCGAAGGCAGCUCACUACGGGAUGAUUGACGCUGAGGCACGAAAGCGUGGGGAUCAAACAGGAUUAGAUACCCUGGUAGUCCACGCCCUAAACGAUGGAUACUCGACAUAUGCGAUACACUGUAUGUGUCUGAGCGAAAGCAUUAAG
rnacentral:rRNA from 1 species